GUCAAUAUGUUUGAGUGGUUAAGAAGAUGGAUUAGAAAUCUAUUGGGCUUUGCCCACAUAGGUUUGAAUCCUAUUGUUGACA